GUGGGGAAUUUUGGACAAUGGGCGCAAGCCUGAUCCAGCAAUGCCGCGUGUGUGAAGAAGGCCUUCGGGUUGUAAAGCACUUUUGUCCGGAAAGAAAUCUCCUGGGUUAAUACCUCGGGGGGAUGACGGUACCGGAAGAAUAAGCACCGGCUAACUACGUGCCAGCAGCCGCGGUAAUACGUAGGGUGCGAGCGUUAAUCGGAAUUACUGGGCGUAAAGCGUGCGCAGGCGGCUAUGCAAGACAGAUGUGAAAUCCCCGGGCUCAACCUGGGAACUGCAUUUGUGACUGCAUGGCUAGAGUGCGUCAGAGGGAGGUGGAAUUCCGCGUGUAGCAGUGAAAUGCGUAGAGAUGCGGAGGAACACCGAUGGCGAAGGCAGCCUCCUGGGAUGACACUGACGCUCAUGCACGAAAGCGUGGGGAGCAAACAGGAUUAGAAACCCCGGUAGUCC
rnacentral:rRNA from 1 species